CAACCCCAAGUUGACUUUUAGCCUGAAAAGUUGCAAUGGCCACAAGAUUCUACACCCUAUAACUAAUCAUGACUAUUUCAUGCAAUUAGCAUAGGUUUUCAAAAUGCGGAAGAACAUGACCGCAAGUAAGGCUAUUCCAUAUAGGAGCAUAUGUUGUUGUACCCAUCUGAAAAUCACAUAACUUUUUUGAAGUUUUAUCCUCAGGAUCAUGGGAAAUUACUCCUUCUCUACCUACAAUCAACACCGACAUUGAUGAUUUCUUCUUCUUCUUGUCUUUAGCCAUGCCAAAAAUGUAAAAGCUCAAAUAAACCCAGUUCCAAGCUAUAUGUGGGAAUUCAACUUGUAUGGGAUUAAGAUCAAAACGGUGCCUCAAUAACCAUCCAGAGUAAUCUUCCUUCAACUCAAAAAUAUCAUAAACACUAUAUUUAGAGUUUCCCGGAAGCAUCAAAUACAAACGUCCUACAAUCGGACAUCUAAAUUGAGAACAUGGGAGGUAGGGGUGGUGGUGAAGGAGAGGAUGUGUGAUGGGCCAUAAUACAUACCAGGCAUAUAGUUGGUGAAGAUAAGGGAAUUGGGGUAGCGUUGGCGUUGUUGAUGGUGAAGGGAAUGAGAGUCACGGAAUUGUUGAUCGGAGAUGAGUGUCUGCCACUGCUUCGAGACGCACUUCCAAUCGGACAAGGGGUUUCAACGACACCCGGAUUAGAAUCUCCCAUAACAUGUUUAUGUUUCCGACCACCUUCUCGCCGGCGGCCCUUGAGCGCACCUUUUUUCCCAUGCCGAUUUGCAAAAUAACAAAUAGGGUUUGUGUGCUGGGUUUUAUACACCAUUAACUCCUCAUUUAGUAUAUAUUAUAAAAAUUGUCAUUAAGUUUUUAUAUUUAAUUUAAAAUAUUGCUGAUUUCCGUUAAUAUGAGAUUUUGGUUUAAUUUUAAUUGAAACUUAACAACUUUCUGUUGAUGGUGGUUUUUUAGUAUAAAAAUAUUUAUAUUUAAAAUGAUUUAGAUGAAUUAAUUUGGAUACAUAGCCACUCUCAAGAUAUCACUCUCACAGUACAUUGUAAGUUCGGUUUCUUGGUGCAUUUCUUUGAAAAAAAAAAAUUGGUUUUCAUUUUCUUAUUGGUGAGGUAGAAGCUAUGGACAUCGAAACCCCAUUCUCAAAUUAAAUCGGUUUGUUAGAAGAGGAGCGCAACCAAGAAUGAACUGAAGAUGACCAGAUGUUUGAAUAUGUUCUUGCUAUAAAUUUUUUUUAUAUGCAAAUGUUAGUGGUUAGUUGUUAGUAAGUUAGAAAAUCCCUUCAAAUUUUCCUUCCAAGAUUCCAACCCUGGACAUUCCCCUCCCCAACCCUCAUGUUCUUGCUAUAUUUAAUGAGGAUACACCUGACCGAUGGGUGAAUAUGGCAAUGGUGAUUCCAAGAAAAACUGUUCUUGAUGUGAUUAAGCGCUACAAGAAAUUGAAAGAAGAUAUGUGUGAAUAGAUGUUUCACUGGACUGGACAGAAGAUGAACCCAAGCUCUUUCUGCUGGGACUUCUCAAGAGUGUGGUAAAGGGGAUUGGAGAAAUGUUGCUCGCAAGUUUGUUGUCACAAAGACACCAACCCAAGUAGCAAGCCAUGCUCAAAAGUUCUACAAUAGGCAAAAACUUUCUAAAGAAUGGAAAGAUGACAGUAAAAAGAGAUCUAGUAUUCAUGAUAUCACAUACACUUGAUAUUAUGGAAAAUACUACACCAAUUGAAGACAAGUCUCUUCCAAUAUUCCAAGAGUCUCAAAUAAUGCUUUCAUGGCCGCAACAGAUGAAGAACACUAGAUGUGCAGCCUGAAUGGAUUAAUUGUGACCACAACACUGAUCAGCUCAUGGUUUUCAAUCCAAGCAACUAUGAAAUAUUAUAUUGUCCAUAUUAUCUUCUCAAGUAAUGCCUUCACCACAACUGGAGAAGACUAACAUCCAAAAUCUACAACCAUUAAUGACAACAACGGUGAUCAACUCAUGGCUUUCAAUCCAAAUAAUGACUAUGAAGUUGGAGGGGGGCAACAGAAGAAGACUAGCAUCCAAAAUGUGCAACCUAAAUGGAUUAAUUGUGACUACAACAAUGAUCAUGGUUUUCAAUCCAAUCCAAGCAAAGAUGAAAUGACCAUGAUGUCUUCCCAAUACCAUGGAGUUGAAGGCGCACAAGAUCUAUACGACAUUUACUUUCAUUUUACUUGAGCUAAGCGACAAUCUUCGGGUUUUAAGAUGGCUUUCUAGCUAGUGACGUUAAUAAUGACGUUAUUUGGGGCAUUUAAUAUCUACAUCUGUAAUAAUGUCAACAUUGAUCAUGUAUAAUAACCAUUAUAUUUCUGUAUUCAUGGCCUGAAGCUACUUGAUUUAUGAACAUCAGUAAUGUUUCUUUCAUCAAAAGUAAA